AGUCUGGGCCUUGAACAUCUGUGGUAUCCAGACUGUCAUAGGAAGGGGAAUGGGGUACCGAGUUGCAAAGGAGCAUUUUCGAGUGCAUUGCGGGUGCUCGGUCAUUUCUCUCAUGUCACUGAUGUCCUGCAUCCACCUUGAUGUCAACGAUAUAGCUCCCCAAGUAGAAAGGGUUACUGUUCUGUGCUAGGACAUAGAUUUCCAAGUGAUCAGGAGGGGACAAUCCUGGGGACCAGGGACUCUCAGUGGGGUGCUCGCAGGAACGUGGCUGAAGUGUGUGGCUGCAUAUGACAUCGAGGGCGAGCCCACAAACUUCACCAGACUCUCUGAGGGCAUGCGACCUCAGAAGAGCCAGGAACGACUGCUUUAGACAAUCAGAACUGUCUCUAUCAAGGGUUCUCCUGCUGGACAGAAUUAAUUCUUCAGAAUUGCCAGGGAGAGGAAAUAAGCUUGAACAGGUGGCAGGAACUUGCUAAGACUUGUCGGCCUGCUUUCAGACUGUUGAGUCCCUGGGCACUGUGGCCCCUCUCUUCCCGUCUCCAUUAGAUCCUGCGGGGACCUUUGUGUCACAUCUCUUCUCCCCACGGGGCAGGAGCCACGUCCUAUCCAUCAUCAACUGGAGGAAGUGUGCCUCUGUGUCUGGCACAGAGCAGGACUCUGAAAUGCUAGUGGAAUUGGUAGGUCUGGGUAGCAGGGGCUAGAAUUCUCUAGAAUUCAUUUCCCCAGUCAGUGGAGGCCGUCUCCUCUGCCCCGGGAGCGGGAGAACCCGGAGGGACCAGGAGCGGAAGCUGUCGUCUUUUAGUUGGCCACGAGGCGGCGCUAUUGGUCUGCACUCGGGUCCCGGCCAUUGUCUCCGCCGGCUCUGCGACAACGCAUUAUUCAAGAGGGUGAUCGCUACCAACGGCUAGACUCACGACGUAUAAUGUCACACAAAUGGCCGAUAAUGAAUGGGACGGGGCAGCCGAUUAACUGCAUCCCAGCCCCCUCGGACCUGCUUUUGCGUGGUACCUGCAGGACCGACCCCGCCUCGCCUACGCUCUGAGGAGUCGCAGAUCCUCGUGAAAAACCCACAGGUUGCUGCCAACUCUUUCCCAGGGCGACGCCUUCCUCGCUCCAUCUGCGCAUCAAGAGGCGGACGGAAAACGAUCCCUCUCGCGCAGGCCGCACCAAUUUCCAGCCUCACUUUUAGCUGGGCAACCGUCGAUUGUGCCCUGGAGGGGUGUGCGGGGAGGUUUCGGCGAAUUGGGCAGCGGCAGCCGCAGCAGCAGCGGGAGGCAAGGCCCAGGCGGGCUCGGCGGCGGGAAGAGGGGAAAGUCGCCUCCUCCGUGCGGUCCUGCGUCCCGCCGGACCUGCGUCCCCCGCUCCCGCGGGUCCCAGUCCAAGCUCGCGCCUCUAGGCGGCAGCACCGCAGCACGGAAGGCGCUCCAGAGCCAGGCCCAGGCCCGCGGGGUUGCAGCUAGUGCUGCUUUUGCCUGCGACCUCUGUGAACACACCAGUGUGAUUUGGGGCCCGUGGCCUCCUGUCCUAGGCCCGGCCUCUGUUUUCCCCUCUGUAAAAUGGGGACGUUAGCACCUGCUGCACCAGGUAUGUGAAGGCUCUUCAGACACUCUGCCAAGCACGCUCAGGGGGAGGCACUUCGAGCAUUAGGGGAAACCCAGGGCCUGGGUCUUAAGGUGCCGCUCGGGCAAAUCUCUUAACCUCUCCGGGACUGAAGUGGCCGGUCCGCAGAAGAUGAGGUUGGAGCGGGUGACGUUGGAGGUUUUUCCAUCCUGCACCUCAACCUGUGAUAAAACACAGCUAUCCCGCGUACUGCGCCUUCGAAGCCUCGAUCUGGCAAACGAUCAGAAAUGAUGCAAGCAAAUGCAUGAGCGGGCAGGAAGAGCCUGCUGUCCUCUGCUCUACCGCGUCCUGUGGAAGAAGACAAAAGGGGGGCAUCGCCACUGACUACAGAGAGCAGGGCGUCCAGUCUCCGUCUUGCAGGAGGAGCUGGGCCAGGCUGAAGGGAACAUUGGCCUCUUUCCUGUUGAUGAUACACAGCAGGCCCAUCCUCCAGAGAUGCCACCCGGGAGAGCCCAGCGGGGGCAGCUCUGAGGUGGCCGGCAUGGCCCAGCACAUGGCCAACGCAGGGAAUCAGGUGCCUGGGGACUCAGGGGCCGCCUUAAGUCUAUGUGAAAGAAAUUAUAACGGGAUGCUUGUGGAUGAAGAUGGGCUUAUCUCUCGUCUACAAAGCUGGGGUUUUCCACCAAGAUGUUUCAGUCACUUCUGCUCCUGUUUCGAUGACCAGAGCAAAUCACAGGGGAUGGCGGCUUUCCAGGAGGGGCUGAGAUGUACCAUGUUACCACGUGACCAGAAGGGAAAACCAUGAAAUAUGUGAACAGUGCUCGUGACGGUCCAUAUCCUUUCCUUCUUCUGGAUCCUUUCCUGGUUUCCGGAUUCUGCGCUUCUAAGAUGGGAGUCAGAAACUCACUGUGGUGGACAGGAUAAUACUCCACACAAAGAUGUCCACGUCUUAAUCCCCAGAGCCCGAUCAACAACCCCCUUUGGCCUCUGUGGUAAUGCCUCCGAGACUUUCACCAGCGUCAUGACUUCGGAUUCAGAGCAUGGCGCCACGAGUUCACCAGAACUGGGCUGCCCCCACUGAUGAGUAUCUCAGUGUCUUUUGCUACGUGACACCCAGCGACAUACGGCAACGGCAUUUAUCCCGUGUUCACCGGCCUUCCCGGGGACUGGGUGUACGAUGGCCAGGCCGAUCUGGGCUGCGCUCCGCUGGAGGUUCUGGUUCAGCCUGCGGGUGGGGCUCAGGUCCGGGUUCUGGGCCGGAGGGACGGCAGCUCCCGCAGGGACGCUCGGGUCACGGUGGAUCACCGGAGCACAGAAGCCGGCCCGAUGGCAGCCAGGCUCACUUUGUCUCUGCUCUUGUUAUGACAGCUAACACCCCAUGGACUAGGGCAGGGCACGCGGUUAAGCUGAAGCCAGGGUGUGGCAAAGAGGGGGAUGCAGGGCUGGCACUGCGGGUGCCAAGAGUUGGUCCUAAUUCAACUGUCACAAUAGAGGAGGAAGUGUAGGCUCGGGGAAAUUCAGGUUAUUUUCCUGGAUCUCAUGGUAAGUCAGUCGUAUGGGUUGAGGCCACUUCUCUAUUCGUUACCCUACGUUGCCAGCACAGCAGGCUCACGGAAACUUCCGGCAGGUAACCUUCUGUGCACUACCCCCUCAUCUUGCCCUGGCCUUGUCUUUCUGUUUCGGGAGGCUUGUGUGUUUCCAAACUGCAGCGUGUCACCAGCUCAGCUCUCCGUCCAUCCCUCUGGGGGAUGAACUCCAUACCCCUGGCUCGGAUGACGUGUCUCUCUUGGGGCCUUUGUCUACUCUUCUGUAAAGAGAUAUAGUUGUCUGUCACAUGACGAGGGGUGGCAGCGGAAUCGCCUUGCUAGCAAUUUGCAGGCCGUUCGAGCCCCUCUUCUGUGGCGUGGCGCCCUGCUGGCCCUCAAGUGCUGGGGCGAUGGUGUGGCCAGGAACACGGGCCGUGCGUCAGGUACAUUCAGAGCAGGGGACUGUCUGUGAGGCAGGGGCCGGUCCUGCUCUGAAGACCCCGGACCGCCCAGACCCGACACGGGGGUCGGGUGUCAUGGGGUGGCCCUGUAAGUGGAAGCUGGCGCGGGGCGGGGGGGGUCUGGAGGGAUCGUGGGGACCGGGUGGCUGAAGGGUAUUCCUGCCACCAGAUGUAGUUCACUUGCAUAAACGUUUCUUGAGCCCGGCAAUGUGCCAACACCUCGGCUGGGAACUGAGCCCUUAGGACACAGGAGAGACAGCUCCUGCCCUCAGGAAGCUUCGGGGCUAGUAGGGGGAGCUGAGGACAUUAAAUGAACGGUUGCGUUCUUCAAACGUGGCAAGAACCAUGCAAACGAGAGAAGAGUUGUUUGAGCGUACUCUAACUUUUUUUUUUUAAGUUUAUUUAUUUUGAGAGAGAGAGAGAGUAGGGGAGGGGCAGAGAGAGGGAGAAAGAGAGUCCCAAGCAGGCUCUGCAUUAUCAGUACAGAGCCCCAUGUGGGGCUCUAACUCACGAGCCGUGAGAUCUUGACCUGAGCUGAAAUCAGGAGUCGGAUGCUCAGCCGACUGAGCCCCCUGGGCUCCCCAACAGCUGCAUCCUUCAAGCGUGGUAAGAACCAUGCAGACGAGGGCAAGGUUGUCGGGGGUACCCUAAACAGCUUUGGGGCUUGUCUGAAAGGGGUAAGCGAUUCUUUGCCUGUCUUGCUGCAAAUAACGAAUUGCUGUGUUGCAUGGGAACUCUUAUUCCCCGUUCGUCGUGUUUCCGUGGGGGGAAAGGGAAAUCCUACUUCCCAGGAGGGAAAGAUUUGGGAGGAGCACUGCUGGCACCUUCCUCCAUACCUACGACCCACUCAUCCCUCCCCAGGAAGGAGAAGGGAUUCUGAUCCGAUUAGUGACUCUGGGGACCUGGGUGGGGUCCAGAGUUCCUGGUGUUGUAGGAUCUCUGAUGAGAACUGGAGCCUGUUUGAGACCUGAGGUUCAAGGAAGUGAGGGCACUUGGCCUCCUUUGUCCCCUGGGUGUGGCAGAGACCAGAGGCACGGCCAUCGCUCUUGAGGCUGUGUCCGCACCAAGGGAAAGCCUGGUGGCGGGGCCCAGUUAGCGGCUGUGGUAAUGACGGCGGCAGAGGUGGGCAAGGAGCAGGCAGAGCGGGGAGGGGCUGAAUCAAGGCAAGGCCCCCGGGGUAACGGAUGGCAAUUCCAGAACUAUCCAAUGGGACGGAACCUAAGGGAGGAGGGGUAGGUGGUAGGCUCAGGUUCCCGGCUCUGGUGAACGGGUGGGGUGAUGCUCGCACCUGUUGCCUCGAGAGGGAGCCGCGAUCACUCAGAUUUGGACCUGAAGAAGUCAUGACCCUGGAUGUGGGUUCUCCUUGAGCGGCCAUGCAAACAUCUCACCGGGAGAUGCUAGAACACGAUUUACCAAGGCGGGGGGGGACCUUCGGUCUCCUGAAUCUCCUGGAUUCUCCUGAAUCCAGCCCGUCGGUGUUGUUUAACCGAUUUUAAAAGCUCCGACUUAGCUGGAGAAAGCACAAAGUGAAAGAUUAUACGGAAAAAUCUGGAUUUCGAUGUUUUCUUUAAAAAGAAAAAAGAAUCAGGAAUCCUUGGGCUCACCUUCUUCGAGAAAAAGAGUUCCUCAGUUUCCUCGAGACGUGUCCCUGGCAGGGGCACUUUGCAGUUCACAAAGUGCACCGCUUGUCCUCGCAAAGUGUGCGGUGUGUCCCCCCGUCCGCCCCAGCUCGUCUGUCCACACGCCCUCCCUCUGUGGGCAGCGGGGCAGGAGAAUCGGGGUCCCGGGGCUCUGAGCGGUUUAGGCUGAGCUCACAGCCGGGAGUGGGGGCCUGGCCCCCAGCUCCGCCCCCCCCACCCCCAUUCUCAGCUCUAGUCUUAGUUUCCUUUCCAUUGCUUUCCAUUUGCCAGUCAGUUAUAAAUAGCUCAAAGAAGAUUUUAUUUCCAGCUUCCAAGUGACAUGUGCUGUCAGCAACACCACAAAACACUUCAUUGAUGUUUUUAAGGGGGUGGGGGAGAGGAAAUAAAAUUGCUUAUUUGCCCAAAGCAGUGUGCAGCGAACUGAAAUCCCUCGACUCCCAUGGGACUCUCUGCUCUUCCCGAGUGAAUGGAUUUUCAAAUUUGGAACACAGGUGGCCUUCAGGCUGAAUGGCCGCCGUCCGCCUCUCUGAUUAAUUCAGUCAAUGCCGCAGCCCGAGGAGGGUUAGAGGUUGGAUCUCCCCUCCCCAGCUCGGGCCCGGGGAAAGCCAGGGGAACAGGUGUGGGGGUGGGGGACGGGAGGCAGCUCCUAACAGCUUUGGGGGCCUUGUCUGAAGCCGGUAGGCAAUUGUUUUUCUAUCUCGCUGCUUGUCAGGGCGGAGACAGGAGGGAGAAGGCAUUUCUUCCCAACAGGAGAGGAAAUCACAGGCAAACGUUUGCAAUGACAGAGCCAAAGGCUUGUGUCAGACAUCGGGGUGAGACUGGGGUGCCUUUCAAUGAGAUCAUGGCCAGGAAUAGACAGGAACAGUGGAAGGACGGCCGGGCGCAGGCCCAGAAGAGGGAAGGGACAAGAACCUGUCCCUGUUAGCUGAGCCUUCGACACCAAGCCCGGUGCGGAGGGCUGGUAAAUGAAGAGAUUGUUCAGGCCAUCUUAAUGGUCUAAGAAGCUCCCUUACCCCGAGCUACUAGAAACAGCCUAGAGUAGCCCGAGCUACGAAAAGAGCUGUUUCAUGUACGCAGCAGUCUCUGAGCUGCUUCUCCACUCCCCUUUGAAAUGAAAAUCAUUGUUAUGCGCCUGUUGGGUGGACAGAGCAAACUGGAUGUGCGAGGCUAAGCCACGUGGGGAGGCCACACAGCAAGUGCUAGGAGGCUGAACCUGGCAGUCUGGCUCUGGAGCCCUUAACACGUUGCCUUAUUGCCUCCGUGAGCAAAGCAGAACAGAGAGAGCAUCGCCCCUGGAGAAAAAGGAAGCAGGGAGAUAGAGGGGGAGACAGAGAGGAAGAGAGAGACAGAGGCAGAGAGGCUGUCUGCACAGUACCUAGCUCUGAGUGGGCUCAGGGCACCUGACUGAGGAAGAGAAAUCCUCAAGGGAGAGGAAGGGACGAUGAGGCCAAGCUCAGGGUCCACCUUAGCUCCUGUCCUUCUGGACUCUCAGAAGGUGGAGGAAGGAGAGGUUUUCUGUCCCGACUCUGGAAUCUUCGCUGGCAAGUUUGGCCCAUUGUCCUGGCAUUAGCCAGCCAGAUCAGCCUUUCUCCCCCUUGGAGAAGGGGAACAGGGCAGGAGCAGAGACAGACCUGGAAGGUAGCACAGAGACACUGUUUCCAGUCCUGGGCCUGCCUUCACCCCGUCCAGGAGACAUCCUUUGUGUUAAGCCAGGUAGGGAAGGGGAGGAAUGACAGCGACUUCACCUCGCUCAUUCGCCCGACGUUGUGCAGGCACUUCUGUGGGCUCGGCUCCUUCGCUCCCGACGUGGGGGUCGAACUCACGAACUGCGAGACCAGGACCUGAGCCGGAGUCGGACGCUCCACGGAGCCACCGGGGGCCCAGGGGCCCCUGGAGUGGUGUUUAUGUACUGGUUUGUUUGUAUCCUCCACACUGGGAUAUGAGCUCCGAGCUCAUAUUAUUUGUCUUAUCCCCGGCUGUGUCCCACUGAGUGCCUACUGCUCCCGGGCGUUCGGGAAAGCUCUGGAACGCGUGCGUGAAGUAAUUGCCCGACACGGGGCGCCAUCACUGGAACCUGGGCCUGUGUGGCUGCACAGGGAGUAAUGAGCUGCCUGGACCGAUCCCUGUGCGUUCACGACGGUGAGCCGGCCGGAUGCAGGUCUGGAGGGCUUCGUGGAGGCGACCGCCAGCACGCCGGGAGCCGGCAGGGCGGGGGCAGAAGUCCGUGACCUCAUUCAGUUCAUUCAGUUCAACUCGGUGUGCACCUCGUGGGCUCUGACCGUGUGCUCGGCCCUGCCGGUGCUGUCUGAAUCACACCGAAGAAACACAAGUCAGGGGAUCGUCCUCGAAGAAACUUCAGACGUGACAAAGCCAGGGGCCAUCCCAGUCUCGGCCGCCGCCACGUCGUUUGCCUCCUUCCCGUGAGGAAGAAGCGGGCAGACCGUGGGCCUUGGAGGCUGCGGUCGUGGGACUCGGGGAGGCAAGUGGCAUCGAGGAGGACUCUGUUCUGGGGCUGCUUCUCCUCACCGUGAUCCCCGGAGAGAUGUUUUCCUGCUCCGAACAUGGCUCCGUAGUUGGAACACGGACCCCAUCACCUCUCGUCCCCCAGGGCUGUCCCGGAGACCAGAGUGCCGACGAAUGAGAAAGUGCUUUUUCAAGGUCAUGCGGGACAUGGGCACGAAGGGCAUUAUUACUAUUUGUGGUGCUGUUGGUAUCCAUUUAUUUGGGGGCCUAGCAACCCUUACUUUUCGGUAACAUCCCCCAGACUUUCCUCCAGACAGCAGCCCUCUCGCUCUCAGCUCAUGAGGUUUGGGACAGGCCACCUCACCCUCCUGGUGGCAGGAAGAGCCCAGGUCUGGCCAGCUGCCAAAUCCUGUUUCUCUGGACUUAGCAGUUAGCUUGGGGGUGAGUGUAGAUCCCAAGCCAGUCUGAUGAGGUCUUAGGUCUUAAGAUGAGCCAGGUCUUAGGAUGGAAUAGGCAGGAAGAGGGAUUUUCUUCCUUCUGUUUUUAAAGUUUAUUUAUUUAGGGGUGCCCGGGUGGCUCAGCACGUCAGGCGUCCGACUUUGGCUCAGAUCAUGAUCUCACGGUCCGUGAGUU